rnacentral:rRNA from 1 species
AAUGGGCGCAAGCCUGAACCAGCCAUGCCGCGUGCAGGAUGAAGGCCCUCUGGGUUGUAAACUGCUUUUAUCUGGGAAGAAACACCCCGUUUCUACGGGGCUUGACGGUACCAGAGGAAUAAGCACCGGCUAACUCCGUGCCAGCAGCCGCGGUAAUACGGAGGGUGCAAGCGUUAUCCGGAUUUACUGGGUUUAAAGGGUGCGUAGGCGGGCCUUUAAGUCAGUGGUGAAAUCUCCCGGCUUAACCGGGAAACUGCCAUUGAUACUAUUGGUCUUGAAUUCAGUUGAGGUGGGCGGAAUGUGUCGUGUAGCGGUGAAAUGCUUAGAUAUGACACAGAACACCAAUUGCGAAGGCAGCUCGCUAAACUGACAUUGACGCUGAGGCACGAAAGCGUGGGGAUCAAA